rnacentral:lncRNA from 1 species
AGAGAAACAAGAAAGAAAUUGACCCUGAUGAAGAAGAAAGUGCCAAGAAAAAGCAUUUGGAUAAGAAGAGAAAAUUGAAGGAGAUGUUUGAUGUGGAAUAUGAUGAAGGAGAAAGCACAUAUUUUGAUGAUCUUAAAGGAGAAAUGCAGAAACAAGCACAGAUAACAGCAUACAGGUUCCCCGCCCCCCGCCCCGUCAUGUACAGCUGAAUCAUGCAGAAUUUGAAGAUCAAGAUGAUGAAGCCAGAGUUCAGUAUGAGGGUUUUCGAC